CCCUAUCCGUCGCGGGCGUUGGAGAUUUGAAGAGAGCUAUCCUUAGUACGAGAGGACCGGGAUGGACGCACCGCUGGUGCACCAGUUGUCAUGCCUAUGGCAGAGCUGGGUAGCUAUGUGCGGGAAGGAUAAGCGCUGAAAGCAUCUAAGCGUGAAGCCCCCUUUAAGAUGAGAUCUCCCAUUCCAAGAAGGAAGUAAGACCCCUGAGAGAUGAUCAGGUCGAUAGGCUUGAAGUGGAAGUGUAGCGAUACAUGGAGCGGACAAGUACUAAUCGGUCGAGGACUUAACCAC
rnacentral:ncRNA from 1 species